AACGAACGCUGGCGGCGUGCCUAACACAUGCAAGUCGUGCGAGAAAGUUCCUUCGGGAGCGAGUAAAGCGGCGCACGGGUGAGUAACACGUAGGUAACCUGCCCCCCAGUCUGGAACAACUAGAGGAAACUCUAGCUAAUGCCGGAUGAGACCACGAUCCCCUUCGGGGGUUGCGGCCAAAGAUGGCCUCUACUUGUAAGCUAUCGCUGAGGGAUGGGCCUGCGGCCAUUAGCUUGUUGGUGAGGUAACGGCUCACCAAGGCUGUGAUGGCUAGCUGGUCUGAGAGGAUGACCAGCCACACUGGGACUGAGACACGGCCCAGACUCCUACGGGAGGCAGCAGUGGGGAAUAUUGCGCAAUGGGCGAAAGCCUGACGCAGCGACGCCGCGU
rnacentral:rRNA from 1 species